GCGUCUUCAGCGCCCGUAUUUUACGACGCAGGAGCGAUGCGCCAUAGGGUGCCUCUUCCCGAGGCCGCUUAAAAACGACCCGCUCCUUCCACUUUGAUGCCACUGGCCCUCACUGCAGAACCAACACUGGGCGCACAGAUUGUCUGCGGACGCAACAUACGCCACAGGAUUUUGACCACCUUUAUCCUCAUCGCAGGCAACGGCCGCAAAAGAGGCAGCUAUUAGUGGGCGCGUAUAGGAUAUUGACAGGCGGAGAACCAUGGUUUCAUCAGUGAAGAGCAUCGCACUCCUGCUGUUUUCAGUGCUCAUACUUCUGGCGAGCCUGUGCUGCCAGGUGCAAUCUCAGAUGCUCGCGCCUGGCAUGGGGAUGAUGCCUGGCAUGGGCAUGAUGCCUGGAAUGGCUGGAAUGGCAGGUAUGAUGCCCCCCAUGAUGGGAGACCCAAUGGCCAGGAUGCAGAUGAUGAGGCUUAUGGGUUGAAGCUCUUCUGCUACGGCAUGAUCCUUCCUGGAAAAACCUUUCUAAGCCUUGCAAAGGGUGGCGGAGACUGAACGAAUAAAAGAACGAAAUGCUUAUCCUUUC